UACGUAGGGGGCUAGCGUUGUCCGGAAUCAUUGGGCGUAAAGAGCGUGUAGGCGGCCCGGUAAGUCCGCUGUGAAAGUCGGGGGCUCAACCCUCGAAUGCCGGUGGAUACUGUCGGGCUAGAGUGCGGAAGAGGAAAGUGGAAUUCCUGGUGUAGCGGUGAAAUGCGCAGAUAUCAGGAAGAACACCCGUGGCGAAGGCGGCUUUCUGGGACGGUACUGACGCUGAGGAGCGAAAGUGUGGGGAGCGAACAGG
rnacentral:rRNA from 1 species